UGAGGAAUAUUGCGCAAUGGGCGAAAGCCUGACGCAGCCACGCCGCGUGAAGGAAGACACCCCUAUGGGGCGUAAACUUCUUUUAUGUGAGAAGAAUGCUCUGGUCUCCAGAGAGUGACGGUAUCACAUGAAUAAGCACCGGCUAACUCCGUGCCAGCAGCCGCGGUAAUACGGAGGGUGCAAGCGUUGUCCGGAAUCACUGGGUGUAAAGGGUGUGUAGGCGGGACAGUAAGUCAGAGGUGAAAUCCCACGGCUCAACCGUGGAACUGCCUUUGAUACUGCUGUUCUUGAGUAUCGGAGGGGUAGCUGGAAUUCGUGGUGUAGCGGUGAAAUGCGUAGAUAUCACGAGGAACACCAGAGGCGUAGGCGGGCUACUGGACGAUUACUGACGCUGAGGCACGAAAGCGUGGGGAGCAAACAGGAUUAGAUACCCCUGUAGUCC
rnacentral:rRNA from 1 species